ACGAAUUUCAAUUCGGUCUUCUGUGCUGGUGGCAACACAUGUGCACGUUGAUCGUAAUUCCAUUCUCCUUUCAAUCGUCCAAGUGUGUUCGGGUCGGGCCUUUUGGGUCGAAGAAGCGUGGCCGUCAGGCUCGUUUCGUUCUGAGCGCACAUUGGUUAUUUCACCCACUCUGGGUAUUCGAAACAAAGAAAACAAAUCAUAUAAAUUAAA
rnacentral:misc_RNA from 1 species